UCUCAGAAUGUCACUGUGCUUUGAUGUGG
rnacentral:piRNA from 1 species